GAGCUCUCCAAGCUGUCCGCUCUCGUGUUCCCCUGCAUGGUUUUUGUCUCAAUGGCCUUCACAAUUGCAGAUAAAAGGGCAGCUCUUGCCUAUAAGAUUACAGAAGUUGUGUCUGAGUUUUAGGGCUGAGACAGGCUCUGCCCGGUUGCUGGCGAUUGGUUCCUUCUGCCCCGUCAACCAAAUCCUUGACAGGAAAACCUCUAGCCAAUGAUCAGUAAUAGCCAGUUUUUUCUUGGAUGAGGUUUGAAUAAGAUACAGCCGAUUUUCCCCGGCUCCCCAAAAAAGAAGUUACAGGUAAGACGUACCUUGAAAUCUGGCUGUGGAGGCAAGGGGAUUGCAAACAUAUUUGGGGCAUUUGGGUCUGGGCUCCCAGUAGUGAAAUGUGAAAACAAAAGUCGGGUAGCUUAAAGCAGUAAAAGUAAGAAAAGGUGUAGAUGACUCUUCUCAAGUUCCAUGAGCAUUAUGACAACUGAGUACGAUGCUUUUGGCAGCAACUCUCUCUCCCACUUUGGUUUAAAUUUCCUCCACCUUUUACAGAUCCUGCCCAGCACAGUGAAAACCAAAAGCAGGGAAUUAAAUCCAAACCUGGAUAGCAAAGUAAAACGUUAGCCUUCUCUAAGGUAAAGGUAAAGGGACCCCUGACCAUUAGAUCCAGUCGUGGCCGACUCUGGGGUUGCAGCGCUCAUCUCGUUUUAUUGGCCGAGGGAGCCAGCGUACAGCUUCUGGCUCAUGUGGCCAGCAUGACUAAGCCACCUCUGGCAAACCAGAGCAGCACACGGAAACGCCGUUUACCUUCCCGUCGGAGUGGUACCUAUUUAUCUACUUGCACUUUGACAGGGACCGAGCAACAGGAGCUCACCGUGUCGUGGGGAUUUGAACCGCUGACCUUCUGAUCGGCAAGUCCUAGGCUCUGUGGUUUAACCCACAGUGCCACCCACGUCCCUUUAGCCGUCUCUCUUAAGGGAAUAUUCCUAGCGCAGUUGGUAGAGCAUGAGCCUCUGAAUCUCAGGGUUGUGGGUUCGAGUCCCACAUUGGGCAAAAAUAUUCCUGCAUUGCAGGGGGUUGGACUAGAUGACCCUUGUGGUCCCUUCUGACUCUGCCAUUCGAUGAGUCAAGCUCCUGCGACGGCGAAAUAUUUAAAAUGUGAAGUAUCUGUUUGCAUUCACUCCUCUAGCAUAUUUUAAUGUUCGCGCUCAAAGUAUCAGAAUCUAAUUCAGAAAUCUAGGUUCUCUCUCGACAGUAGCUGUCCUGCAGUUUAAUCUUCACAUAUCUGGCGGCUGCAGAAAAGUUCAUUUCACAAUAUCUCCUUCCUUGAAGCUGUCCAACCGGUUCCGACAUGUGCUGCAGUGUUGCACCAUAUUGCCAUGGGGGGGGCACAUUUAGAGCAGCGGUUCCUUAUUGGAAGAUCGCAACCUGGAAGUAAAGGAACUUGGGGGUGGGUGAGGGGAGAACACCUUUCAGUUUUCAGGAGAGUUUAUAGCUUGCCAAGCCCAGCUUGCCUGGGAGGCACGAAGGGCACAGUAACAGUGUUGUUUCUAGCUUGGGCAGUAUUAUGGCAACAAACUCCACUUACUCCUUUCCCCAAGGUGAACACUUUUAAGAUUGUCUAUUUAAACUGAUACAAUGGGCUUGCUGUAUUUUUUGUGGUGCACACAGGCUUUUAAAAACGGGAGGAGGGGGGUAACACAUGCACAAGUAAAUUUUUGUGUGGUUGAAUAUAUAAACGAUGCUUAGGUAAAAAGGUAAAGGACCCCCUGGACGGUUAAGUCCAAUCAAAGGUGAUUAUAGGGUUGUGGCGCUCAUCUUGCUUUCAGGCAGAGGGACAGCUUUCACAGACAGCUUUCCAGGUCAUGUGGCCAGCAUGACUAAACCACUUCUGGUAAAAAAGGACCCCUGGGUGGUUAAGUCCAUGGGGUACUGCACUCAUCUCACUUUUCAGUUUGAGGGAGCCGGCCUUUGUCCGCAGACAGCUUUCCAGGUCAUGUGGCCAGCAUGACUAAACUGCUUCUGGCGCAACGGGACAUCGUGACAGAAACCAGAGCGCACAGAAAUGCUGUUUACCUACCCGCCACAGCGGUACCUAUUUAUCUACUUGCACUGGUAUGCUUUCGAACUGCUAGGUUGGCAGGAGCUGGAACAGAGCAACAGGAGCUCACUCUGUCAUGGGGAUUCGAACCACCGACCUUCUGAUCAGCAAGCCCAAGAGGCUCAGUGGAUUAGACCACAGCGCCACCCGCAUCCCCAAAUGAUGCUUAGAUUACACAUUGAUCAGUAUGGAGCUGAUGCAGCAUACUUGUUAAGAGACUUGGACGUUUGAAUUCAUUGAGUGGCCCUCACUCAAGACACUCUCUCGGGCACCCCCCUGUGCUAUGUGGAGGAAAUGCUAAAGUUUUUGAGCAUGCAUAAACGUUGCAUUUCUAGCGAAAUGCUCAAGUGGGAGGUGCCACAGGAAGUGUCUUACAUUGCUGAAGAAUGAACGGUGGGUCUUUGGGUUCUUGUAUACAGAGGCAUGUUGCAGUCCACCUAACAGCUUCUGUUAGCAAUGAUCAGGUUUUACCCCCGUGCAAAUGCUUUGCAUUUUUUCUGUCGGGCUCAUGGCACGCUGUGGCCUAAACCACGGAGUCUCUUGGGCUUGCUGAUCAGAAGGUCAGCCGUUCGAAUCCCCGCAACGGAGUGAGCUCCCAUUACUCUGUCCCAGCUCCUGCCAACCUAGCAGUUCGAAAGCACGCCAGUGAAAGUAGAUAAAUAGGUACCACUGUGGCAGGAAGGUAAACGGCGUUUCUGUGUGCUCUGGUUUCUGUCACAGUGUCCCUUUGCACCAGAAGCGGUUUAGUCAUGCUGGCCACAUGACCUGGAAAGCUGUCUGUGAAAGCUGUCCCUCUGCCUGCAAGCAAGAUGAGCACCACAACCCCAUAGUCGCCUUUGAUUGGACUUAACCGUCCAGGGGUCCUUUACCUUUUUACCUUUAAAAUAUAUUGGAGAAAGCCAGAGGUGCACUUGGGAAUACUGCUGCAGCACAGACAAAAGCUUACUAAGUUUUUAUUUAUAGUGAGUGCUCCAGAUCAUGCCCCAGAAUCUUCUGCCACACAUUUUGGGUGCUUCCAGGAGACAUGUUUAUUGAGCAUUCCUCCUGACUUGUUUGCAAGAAGGCUAGACACCAUUGUCUGAAAGCAAGUGCUAUCUAUCUACAAUUCCCAGUGUAUUCCCCAAUUUCUCUCCUUAUCACAAAAAAAGUUCGAUCUUCUGGGCGAAACGAGUUUGUUGCGCAAGAGCUUGUUGUCCCAACCAACUGUAAUUGCACAAUCUGAAUUUCCUGGUAUAGGUAUGUGAUUGAUUGAAUCCCACCCCAAAAUAGUGUCAGUCUGGAAGCCAUGCUUGGGUGUCAGUGACAAGCUUUCAGGGAUUCCUAAAUAGAUUAGGAAAGGGUAUUUGGAUAGGCUCGGCUUUAAGAACAAUCAGAAUGGAACAUGCAUGAAUUGCCAAGAGGAUUUUCGCUGGAAGCAGAAAGGAAGAAUUGGGAAUUUAAAAAUGGAUUUUCUAAAAUUUGCUGAAUCCAGAUGAUAUAGGUUGCUCAGACAGAAUGAAGAAAAUUGCUUCUCCCACAAUUAUAAUAUUCAUCCCAAUAAUUUUAUCUACAACCUUGCCUUUUGUGAAUACAUGGUUAUUUCCACACUCUCUUUUUAUUAACUUGGAACUGAAUGAUGCCUAAUGUGUGCAUUGCUUGUUAAUGCUCCAGCGUAGCUAUUAAAAUUUGCCGUAGGUUAUGAAAAAGUGCACCCCCUUUUAUAACUAAGGCUCCUGGCUGUCCUGUAAAAGUUUCAAAGUGGGCAAAAUUAGAGUCAUUACAAGAAUGCAAUUAACAGCCAAUGAAAAAGGAAUAGAAAGAGUUUUAAUAGAUUUGGAGGUAGUUUUGCAAAGUUGUGGCUGUCUAUCGUUCAAUUUUAUAGAGCGCUCUUGUGUAUGGAGCUCAUAGCUACCCUGUUUGCUAGAGUUUGAAAAGAUAUACAUAGUGUAUUAGGAUGAAUUGUCAGUCUAGCAUUCUUGGCAAAAUCACUUUAACAACUUCAAAAGCACUACACAAAAGAAAACUUGAAAAUCCUUCACAGAGAUAUUAAACCACCUAAAGUUCCUCUGGACAGAAACAGAAAUAUUAAACUAUGAUUUCAGAAUUGUUGACUUGCUUGUAGUUUCCAUUGCCAAGACCAGAGAUACCACUAUAUGGCAGAAGGGAGGAUAGAUUGCAAGACAUUUAGACAACAAUGGGGAUCUGAGCUUAGGGAAUAUGUUGUAGGAGCUGGCCACAGGAUGGCUCUCCCAUCCCACAUGUAUUUUGUGGUUUUAUAUCUUGAUUUUAUUCGGUGAACUGCCCUGAGACCCCCCCAGGUAUAGGGUGGUAUAUAAAUUCUAAUAAUAAUAAUAAUAAUAAUAAUAAUAAUUGAUGCUCUACGGCUAUGUCAAAUUUCUAAUGCAAGUGCUGGGAGCAACCAAGACGAGCAGACAUGGUUGAGAUUGUGUCACCAGUCUGAAUACAACCUCAUUUAAUUUUGAUACCCCGAUGAGCAGAAAGUGCGACUAGACCCAACCGAUUUAGAAAGUGUAACCUGGAAAGAGCAAAUUCCUUAGACGCCUAAAGGUUACAUGCUAACUGCUCUUUGUCGAACAUUUGUAAUUCUCUCGUACCACAAUGUUGCCUGCCUCAGCAAGUUGUCAUAACUUAACCACAGGAGAAAAGAAAUAUUUCUGUUUUGAAGAUUAACACUUUAGGGGGUAGAGCAUUUGCGCCUGUGUGUUUUGCAAGGAUGCGUGAAAGCUUCAGCUGAACCAGACUUGUCUCCAGAGGAAAGGGAUGCAGAGGUUGUUCCCAGCUCUGCCUGCUAGGUGAAAAUUCUUUUAAAAGUCUUGGUCUGCUGGGGAUUAGCAAGGCCAAGGAUUGCAGAGGUCUGGUGCAUCUCUCUCCUUCUAAAUGGGCCUCUUCUACCCAUUAUGUUAAAAGCGUGGUCACAUUGAAUCUGUCUUAAACAUAUAUGUGUGCAAAUAGCAGCUGCUGGGGGGCACGACUGGGAUGGGUGUGGCAGAAUCAGAAGAAUCUUUAUUUGCACCAGUCCCUAGCCCUAGCAAUAAAAUAAAAUACAAUGUGCUGAAGAUAGAGGUAAAAACUUAAUUAUGCAAAAUGCAUUCCGGAGGUUUAAUCAAUAAUCAAAUAAUAGAUCUUGUUCUGAUUGCCCCUACUAAAAUUUUUGCAGUUUUUGCUGUUGCCUGGUUAUCUUGAUCUGCCAGAAGAAAGGACACUGUAGCAAUGGCUGAGCAACCCGGCAUGGACAGGAG